rnacentral:rRNA from 1 species
GACGAACGCUGGCGGCGUGCUUAACACAUGCAAGUCGAACGGAAAGGCCCUGCUUUUGUGGGGUGCUCGAGUGGCGAACGGGUGAGUAACACGUGAGUAACCUGCCCUUGACUUUGGGAUAACUUCAGGAAACUGGGGCUAAUACCGGAUAGGAGCUCCUGCUGCAUGGUGGGGGUUGGAAAGUUUCGGCGGUUGGGGAUGGACUCGCGGCUUAUCAGCUUGUUGGUGGGGUAGUGGCUUACCAAGGCUUUGACGGGUAGCCGGCUUGAGAGGGUGGCCGGCCACAUUGGGACUGAGAUACGGCCCAGACUCCUACGGGAGGCAGCAGUGGGGAAUAUUGCACAAUGGGCGGAAGCCUGAUGCAGCAACGCCGCGUGCGGGAUGACGGCCUUCGGGUUGUAAACCGCUUUCGCCUGUGACGAAGCGUGAGUGACGGUAAUGGGUAAAGAAGCACCGGCUAACUACGUG